GCUCCCUUCGUCUAGCGGCCCAGGACAUCGCCCUCUCACGGCGGUAACGCGGGUUCGAUUCCCGCAGGGAGCG
rnacentral:tRNA from 1 species